CACCUCAAAAGCUUAAGCAAUAUGGUUAAAUGCUAAAUUUAAUGUUGAAAUUUUUCAGGCUAAGUAAGGCAUAAAGCCAUAGCAAGCUGUCCUUUAUGGAAACAGUACUUAAAAUGUUUUAAUUGAAAUAUAACUGAAAUUAUUUAUGCUAAGGCAUAUAGCCAAUAGCAAGCUGUUCUUUAUGGAAACAGUACUUAAAAUGUUUUAAUUGAAAUAUAACUGAAAUUAUUUAGGCUACGGCAUAUAGCCAUAGGCAUAGCGAGCUGGGCCUUUAUAGAAACAGCACUGAAAUAAUAUCACAACUUUAUUAGAUAUCCCAAGAUACCUGCAACACUUCCAGCCAUUCAACACAGACAAACAGUACACCCAUUUAUUCCCGGAGCCAAUGACAUAUAGUUGGGCUCUAUAUAGUUGAAAGCAAUAGCUUUCAAAUCUCAAAAUUUUCAAAAAA
rnacentral:lncRNA from 1 species